GCCAGGCGUGGUGGUGCAUGCCUGUAAUCCCAGCUACUUGGGAGGCUGAGGCAGGAGAAUUGUUUGAAUCCAGGAGGCAGAGGUUGCAGUGAGCUAAGAUUGUGCCACUGUACUCUAGCCUGGGUGACAGAGCGAGACUCUGUCUCAA
rnacentral:sRNA from 1 species